rnacentral:lncRNA from 1 species
UUACCAUUACUAUUAUUCUUAUCGUAGAGGAAAGAAAAAGAAAAAAAAAACGAGAAUAAGAUGAAAUGACGUUUUCGCACGCAUACGCGGUAUAUUCAAUAGAUAUAUUAAUAUAUUCGUAUAUAUACUGUUCGCAUAUAUAUACACAUAUAUAUAUAUAUAUAACUAUACGUAAUUUUUCCGCGCGUACCUCUAUAUACGCAUAUGCGUGUACAUUAUAUAUGUAUACGUAUAUACAGAAUUGAUCAUUUGACAUCUCUAUACAUUUUUUUUCUUCCCCCUCUUUCUCUCUCUCACUCUUCUUGUAAUUUUUUUUUUCCCUUAUUUAUGUAUUGUCACGUACAUACCUAGGGUGAGAAUACGAAUUCUGUUUUGGUUACGAUGGGAGAAAAUAAUCCGAGGAACAUAAUAUAACAUGUUUCGUUUAAACCGGAAGUGACGAGUAAAUGAUGAAGAAGAGUAUGAAUAUAAUAAAUGGAAAAAAUAAAAAAUAAUCUACAGUGCCGAAUUUUUUGUCGUACGUCAUUAUUCAAGACGUGUAAAAUUAAGUACAGACGACGUUCAUGUAAGUGCGUCAAAUGAUAAAAGGACACUCAACGUGAUGAUUCGCACUGUGCUUUUGAUGUAUCAAGUGUGUGAAGUAUGAAAAAUAAAAAAAAAAAAAAAAAUAAAAACUAUGCAAAUGAAAGGAUUAUUGAUUGAAUAUAGCAACAAUAUUUAAAGAAAUAAAAAUAUCUGUAACGGACUACAUACAUAUAUAUAUAUAUAUGCAUACAUAUAUACCUAUAUGUAUAUAUACUUGAUCUUGUUCGACGAAAGUUCUUCUACGGGAAAACUCACGUUCGUCCUACAGUCGUCGUUGUUGUGUGGUGGCGAAUCGGCGCACUUUUGAAACUCAUCAAGUGUUACAGAGAAAGUGAAUUUAAACGAUUGAACAAAUAUGAAUGAAAAUGAUAUGAAAUAAAAAUAAUCUAUUACAUGUGAUAAUCAUGGAAAACGCGCAUAUUUGUACAGCCUCCACAUCAUUCAUCGAUAUCAUCUUACUCUAUACAUAUAAAUAAAUAAAUACAAAUGAAUAUAAAUAUAUAUAUAUAUACAUAUAUGUAUAUAUAUAUAUUAUAAAUAUGCUACAAUAUUAAUUAAUUAAUUAUUAACUUUAGAGGAAGUAAUCGAUACUAUCGUUACUAUUAUUAUUAUUAUUAUUCGUAUUAUUAUUGUCGUCGGAUUGUAAACAAUAAUAACAACAACGCUAACAACAACAACAACAACAACAACAAAUCGCAACUGUGCAAGCAUACAGUCGAUUAUAUAUAUUAACUACAUAGUUGAGUAAUAUAGUGUUUAAUAUUGAUGAUAAUGUUUGUAAAAAUAACGACGGCAAUGAUGAUGUUGAUUAUAAUAAUGAUAAUGGUAAAAUAAAUGAAUAAUGAUUAUUAUGAUAAUGGUAGUUGUAAUCGUAAUUGAAAAGUAUCAUCCCGUAUGUUUAUGACUUGCGUGUGCGUGUGUGCGUGUGUAUGGGGAAAAAGUCGAAAGAUCGAUGAACAGCAGAAAGGGAGAAAAAGCUCAGACGUGCGCGGGGCAGGUUUUGAGAAAUCUAUACAUUCGUUAUGUAUGUAAUGAUAAAGAUAAUGAUAAUGAUAAUGAUAAUGAUAAUAAAGUGAUGAUGAUAAUAGACGUUAUACACGUGACUGAAGUGUUUGUAUAUUUUCGCGUCAACAUAUAAUCGAAACGCGAAUUACAAGAAAGCGAAACAGAAGUAAGAUAAAAAAAUUACACACGGUAUACAAUUUAUAUGUAUAUAUAUAAGAGUGUGCGGAGUAGGACAAAUUCGGAGUAAAGUUUAGGGGUAAAAGGUAUAAUCGAUGAAUAGAAAAUACUGGUAAGUUUAGAGACAAGAUGGUAAAGGUAAAGAGAGAAAAAGGAAAGAAGAAAAAAGAAAAAGGUAACGGUGAAAGUUACGAGAGUGUGAUAAAUAACAAAGUUUCUAAGUAAAAUUUUGAUUGCCGAAAAAGAGGAAAGAGAAAAGAUGAUUGUAUACCUUGUUGACGAUUAAUGGGAGCGGUGGAAGUAGAUGUGGAGAGUUGAAGUCACUUGAGAGUUUGUCACGAGAUUCUGACAAACUUACAACUUUGCAAUUGUCGUAACUUUUAUGCCACGUUUACGAGUUUCGUGUCCUGUGUCGAUUUAGAAAUUAAUUACCAGCGAAAAAAGAUGAAAGAAAUCAGGGCGACGAAACAGAAAUAGGAAGGAAAUUUAACGAAAAUAUUCAACGCGAUUAUUUACGUCAAGAAGCAGGUAUUUCUAUGAAAAAUUCACUUGGCGUGUGUACGAAAUUUUUAAUACAUUUGAAACAUAUGGUAUGUAACGCGAUGUAUUCUGUGAAAAAUUGACGAAGAAAAGAGAGGGUUUAAAAAAAAAAAGGAAAACUUCCGAAGAAUCGACGCGAGAUCAAUGAAGAUAUUUUUUGAAAAACAAGUGAGAAAUUUUCGUGUAAUAUUGUAUUAUAGGUAGUAAUAUCGAAUAUAAUAUAUCCGGGAAAAGAGAGAAAAUAGAAUAGACUCGUAAUAAUAUUGAUAAUUAUAUUAAGAGAUGAUUACAUACAUAUAUAUUAUAUAUAUAUAGUAAACGUGCGUACAGUAAAAAGAAAUCAAUGAUCGUUGUACAUAGUAGAUUAUUAAGGCCCUCAAUCAACCCCCCUCUGUAGUUCUUGCAGAAAGAGUGAAGGAAGAAGUGCGGUGAAGAAAAGAGGUAAUAAUUUGAAAAAAAAAAAAAAAAGAUUGUACUAAACGAUAGGGAAAACGUACAGCGUUUUUGAAAAUCGUUAACUAAUAGUUAACACGUGUCGUUGUUGAGACGCCCGCUCCCCUUUUCAUCCACCCAGCAUGCAUUGAAUAUCACGAAAAAAGGAAAAGAAGGGAAAAGUUAAUCUAUAGAAAAGCACCAAUAAUCAAGCAAAAACACAAUCAAUUUUAUCCAUCCUAGCGAAGAAUGAACUCUUCAAUAAAUUCACGAACCCAGCCCCCUCCCCUCCAUCGUCAUCCUUGUAAUCAAAUUAUGCACUAAUCAUUGUACACAUACUCACAUACAUGAAUACACAUAUAUAUAUAUAAUACAUGUACAUAGUAGAUUUUCAUUUAAAAAAAGUAAGAAAAAAGUUUAAAAAAGAAAAAAAAAGAAAGAAAGAAAGAAACAAAAAAAAAAAACAUAAAAACAACAAGAAUCGUCAUUAUUCCCGUGUCUUUUGGAACUUGCAUCAUUCAUGAUUCCAUAUUGAUGAUUAUAACUUAUAUGUCGCAUAUUGCGAUUGACGAUGUUGGAUUACUCUUGUGUAUAAUCAUUGCGUGUAUUAUAGAUAGUAAAAGAUCUUACUGGAAUAAAAAAAAAAAAAUAAAAUAAAAUAAAAAAAAAAGUAAUCGUGAAAAUUGCAUCGGUAAUUGGUCGUUGUAGAGAUACACCAUCGUUUUAUCCAAAGGGGCACAAUUUCCACUCCCCCCCCCCCUCCCUUGUCAGUUCUGCAAAGUCUAUGUAUAGCGUUCUACAUAUAGUAUAAUAUGUAAUGCGCAUAUGUAAACUAUAUUAUACACAUAUUAAUGAUUAUUAUAUAAUAAUGAGUGGUGAUGAUGAUGAUGAUGAUGAUACGUGAACUAAUUAUGGAAUAUUAUACGUACAUUAUUUGUUUAUCCGUGCGGUGAUGAGAUGGAAAAACAGUGCAUAACGAAAUAGGAAGGGAAAGAUCAGUUGAACGUUUGUCUUGUUCGAUUUUUUAUUAUUUCUGUUUCGAUUUCUUUUUCUAAGUAAUAUAAUUUAUUAAUUAUUCCUUCUUCUUCGUGAUAAUAUUAACGAAAGGAAAGAACAACCAGUAAGAUACCUGUUAUUGUUAUGUUGUUAUUAUUAUUAUUAUUAUUGUAAUAUAGAACUGAAAUAUUGUCCCGCCCCCGCAUUUCCCCAGUGAGCAGCAGCACUUCAUAUUUUGUACGCUUGGGAGUUGUGAGGUCGUCUGAAUAAACAUUGUCUGGUGAAUUAUAAAUAUAAUACGUCUGUCUCAUUUUUUUCUACGAAUAUUACUUACGCCUAUACAUAUAUGUACAUAUAUAUACAGUGUAGCGUCACUUCUUUGUACGAUAAAACCAAUUUUCCCGUUGUCUCCUAUUCCAUCUCAUCGUUAUUAUAAUACUAUCGAUAAGCGUUGGAAUAAGUGUAAAAUGGAAUUGAAACCAAAGGAGAACUAACAGAAAGAAGAUGAGGAAUAAGCGUGUAAGAAUGUCCGAGGAAAUCUGAUUAUACGGUAAGUGUGAAACGUUAUAGGUAUUUCAAUUUCGAAAACGUUGGAUUAAACUCUAAUUCCAACGGACGACAUCCGCGUCGUGUUUUGUUUACACGGCGCCCUUCAGAGUAGUUCAGUCUGUUAUAAGAUGGCGUCGAGUGCGGAACGAAUAUGCCGGUGCGGGGUGAGCGUCUCGAUUGUUCGUUGUUAUUGAGUAAAUACGUGGAACGUCUCGCGUCGUGCGACGGUUCGACGAACGAUAAGCUUGUGAAUUCAAUAACGCUGCAGCGGUCGCGAGUGAGUCAGGUUAUUUCAAUUUGCAAAUCGGGACGCGGCGGUGAUGAUGAGGAAGAUGACGAUCGUCGUUCUGACUCACGGCCAACUUCGCAUCAGUGCCGCGGCGUCGUCUCAUGCCCUCGGAAUUUUUAUGCCACAGGCCUCGGUCAAAUUUUCAGCUUCAAUAAUUCUCCUUCGAUCUCUAACCUCAACAACUUCCGGUUAAGCCGUUAUCGCCUUCCUCGCGUCGCGUCGAUUCGAGUUAACCGAGGUCAGGCAUCCGCCGAUAUGCUAACGAGCCUGCAGUCUGACCGUUGUGAAAACGCGUUUUGUACGGAGUUUAAAGUGUUAUCGGUGUGCCUGGACUUCGUCGGGGAUGCCGAGACAGCAUGUGGGAAAACACUGGACUUGGGUGAACCAAGGCGAUGACUGGUGCUGAUGCAGUGCGAGAAGACGGUGCGGAAUGAAAACCGAUCGAUCAUCAUCGUUGUUUCAGGACCCAGACAAGAGGAUGAUAAUCCUUGGACCUGAAGACUUUAGUGACAAACCAUCCUCCAGGUCUGAGAAAUUGUGUGGCAACUUUAAGAGCCGACAGAGUCAAGCAGGUUUGCUGAUAGGCAUCGUGCAGCCAAUUUUUACCAACAUUUGGGGCUCCGUCGUUGAGAACAACGUCAGCCUUCCACGUUUUCAACUCUCGGGAGAUGGCGACACGACAUUUGUCCGUUGUAAUGUCUUCGGUAAUGCUGAUACAGCCGGGUAUCGGUUUUAUCGGAAAUAGAUCUAUGCCGAUGACGAUUGACGACACGGGCAUGUUCUGCCGGGCGACUUGCAUCCAACCACCAGGAGCAGCGCAGAGAUCUAUGCAUACUCUAGACUUUUGCAAGAAUUCGAAUUUACGAUUGAGUUGGAUCAACUUGAACGCCGCACGAGAUCUGAAACCUGGGUUAUGGAGCACGAGAGGUUAUGUUAAUCGCUAACGUGCGCUGGUGCUGGACGCUUGCGACAGCCGACGAUACUCUGCGAUGGGGUCUUGUGAGUUUCGAAUGAGCGUAACUUGCCAACACAUGAUAUAUCAAAGCGCGG